AUCUCUGGGUUACUUUGGACGUCCGUUCAUCCUCGGUGUAGGGAUUACUUAGUGCCGGCCCUUCGACGUUUGGUUUUUUCUUCUCCUGGACAGGAGGCCUCUGCAGCAACCAUGUUACGCCAGAUCAUCGGUCAGGCCAAGAAGCAUCUGAGCUUGAUCCCCCUCUUCAUAUUUAUUGGGGCAGGAGGUACUGGAGCAGUGCUGUAUGUCUUGCGCCUGGCAUUGUUCAAUCCAGAUGUCAGUUGGGAUAGGAAGAAUAACCCAGAACCCUGGAACAAACCGGGUCCCAAUGAUCAAUACAAGUUCUACUCAGUGAAUGUAGAUUACAGCAAACUGAAGAAAGAAGGUCCAGACUUCUAAAUGAAAUGUUUCACUAUAAAGCUGCUUAGGAUGAAGGUCUUCUAGAAGCCAUCCGCACAAUUUUCCACUUAUCCAGGAAAUAUUUCCCCUCUAAAUGCACGAAAUCAUGUUGGUGUAUUGUGUUGGGGUUUACACUGAAUAAUAAAUACCUGAAACUUGG